UGUCCAAUGCGGGAAUCGAACCCGGGUCGUAGUGGUUGAAAACCAAACGGUUUAACCAGCCUUCCACCGACCCCCCGAAAAAUAAGGUAACAAGAC
rnacentral:tRNA from 1 species